rnacentral:misc_RNA from 1 species
GAUGAAGAACGCAGCGAAAUGCGAUAAGUAAUGUGAAUUGCAGAAUUCAGUGAAUCAUCGAAUCUUUGAACGCACAUUGCGCCCGCCAGUAUUCUGGCGGGCAUGCCUGUCCGAGCGUCAUUUCAACCCUCGAACCCCUCCGGGGGUACGGCGUUGGGGAUCGGCCCUUUACGGGGCCGGCCCCGAAAUACAGUGGCGGUCUCGCCGCAGCCUCUCCUGCGCAGUAGUUUGCACACUCGCAUCGGGAGCGCGGCGCGUCCACGUCCGUAAAACACCCAACUUCUGAAAUGUUGACCUCGGAUCAGGUAGGAAUACCCGCUGAACUUAAGCAUAUCAAUAAGCGGAGGA